rnacentral:rRNA from 1 species
CAAUAGCGUAUAUUAAAGUUGUUGCGGUUAAAAAGCUCGUAGUUGGAUUUCUGCUUAGGACAGCCGGUCCGCACUACGUGCGUGUAUCUGGUUUGGCCUGGGCAUCCUAUCCGAAGGGGAUACUGUGCUUGAUUGCAUGGUUUUCAGUCGGGUACUUUUACUUUGAGGAAAUUAGAGUGUUCACGGCAGGCAAUCGCCCUGAAUAUAUUAGCAUGGAAUAAUAAUAUAGGAUCUGAUGCCUAUUUUGUUGGUUUCUAGGUGUUAGAUAAUGAUUAAUAGGGACAAUUGGGGGCAUUCGUAUUAUGGCGUCAGAGGUGGAAUUCUUGGAUUGCCAUACGACGAACUACUGCGAAAGCAUUUGCCAAGGAUGUUUNCAUUG